rnacentral:rRNA from 1 species
UACGUAGGGGGCAAGCGUUGUCCGGAAUCAUUGGGCGUAAAGAGCGUGUAGGCGGCCUGGUAAGUCCGCUGUGAAAGUCCAGGGCUCAACCCUGGAAUGCCGGUGGAAACUGUCAGGCUCGAGUCCGGAAGAGGAGAAUGGAAUUCCUGGUGUAGCGGUGAAAUGCGCAGAUAUCAGGAAGAACACCCGUGGCGAAGGCGGUUCUCUGGGACGGUACUGACGCUGAGACGCGAAAGCGUGGGGAGCGAACCGG